CAGAUACAAUGAUGACAACAUAGUUCAGCAGAUGAACAGUGGUGAUCUAUCUUUCGCUCCUAUCUGAUGUAUCUG